UUCUAUUAAAAUAUUUAAUAGUAUAAUCUGCUCAAUGAUUAUUUAAAUAGCCGCAAUUGUGCUAAGGUAGCAUAAUAAUUUGCCUUUUAAUUGAAGGCCAGAACAAAAGAUUAAACAUUUUAAUAAAUUUAUUAAUUAUUUAAUUAAAUUUUUCUCAAAUGUAAAAAGACAUUUAUUUAUUAGAAAGACGACAAGACCCUAUUGAACUUUACUAAAGUUUAACUGGGGCAGUAAGUUAAUUAAUAUUUUAAUUUAUAUUAAAUUAUUAAUAUCUAAUAAUAUUAAUAAUUAAGUUACCUUAGGGAUAACAGCGUAAUAAUUUUUAAAAGAUCUUAUUUAAAAAAAAGAUUGCGACCUCGAUGUUGAAUAAUUAUCUAUUAUAAGCAGUUAUAUAAAAAGAAAGUCUGUUCGACUUUUAAAAAAUUACA
rnacentral:rRNA from 1 species